GGGGCUGUUAUUUGGCUUCGACAGGAACAAGAGUGUUUAAGUGGCAAGUCGAAAGCUACUAGCGUUAAAGUGCAAAAUAAAAUAACUGGAAACAAUAGUUUCAACUACGCUCCUUCUUUUGCCUAAUUUAAGGCAAGGAGUGUGCUUCUGUAAUUCCUCUGUCUGUGGGAGUUAUAAGGGGCUUAUUUAGCAGACUAUAUUAUCAAGUUUUUUAGGCGAAGAUAACGAAUUUUAGCUAAAAUGGUAAGUGUCUUAAGUUGUUAAUUACUAUGAUACUUAUGAGAUUUAAUAAUUAACUAAACUUGUAGAAACUUAAAAUUAUCUUUUCCUGGACAGGGGUUCGACUCCCCUCAGCUCCACCA
rfam:Clostridium sp. CAG:762 genomic scaffold, scf39